rnacentral:lncRNA from 1 species
UUUCUGGCGCUGCGGCCGGGACAAGAUCAAAUUUGAUGGAAAGGUCUUAUGUAUAAUUUCUAUCUUUGAUGGGGGAUUAUCUGUAAUAAUACUCUUCUACGUUCCCAGAAGUCCCGGCACCCAAAUCGCCGGAAGCAAGUUCCUAGGCAACUCAAGAAACUUGUGAAAAACGAUACCAUGGAACAUGAGGGAGUUGUGCAAUAGCUUGUUCUCAAAAGGCACCUCGUUCUUCGCCCUUUUUUCCUCGCGGUCCCUUCCGAUUACUCUGUCCAUCACCAGCGAGCUCGCAAAUUUCAUAAACCAUUCUGCACCCGCCACCGUAGAAGGAAGGGGGGAGAGAGAGAGAGAGAGACAUGGGGGGAAGCGAAGGCUCUAGAGUCCUUCUUCUCUCAUCCAAAGGUCUCGGUCUCGGUCUCGGUCUCGGUGACCAAAAAUGAGCCUGCUGUGGGGUUGGGUGGCGUCUGGCCGAUUACGGAUCGCCGGCGGUUUUGGUGGAGGUGGAUCGGCACUUUGGCCACACGAUCAAGUAACUAAUCCCUCUCUUGCCCUCUCUUCAUUCUCCAUUUGUUUGCCUCUAUCUGUUUGUGCUUUUGAGGUUUAAUCUAUGGUUGUUUAGGAAAAAUGAAGAUCGAAUUUUCGUUUUCCUAUUUUUAUUUGGGCGCUAAUGUGCAUUGAUGAUUUUUAUUAAUUCUGAAAUGCCAGUCCCUGUAUUUAGAUUUGUUUCCAUUUGGUUUCAGUCGAAUUUCAUGCAUAUUUUUCUACAUUUUAUUCCCCCCUUUAAGUAGUAUAUGGUUUGGGUUCAGCAUCAACGGGUGUAUCAAUGAAAUUUGGGGCAAAAAUCAAAAAGAGGUUCACAAAUUGCAUGGCGAGGCGUGUUGAUUCCUGUAAUUAAAGAAUGCAUUUUGGUCAUAUACUAAAGAAGAGCUGUUAAAGUAUGUAACCUAUCUGUAGAUGUUCUCUCAGGAUAUCUGCAUGCUGCGUCACACUGAUAUGUAAAUGUUAUUGUUGUUGAGAGAUAAAUAGGCCAUUUAUCGAAAGCUGAGGUAAUAGGUGCCGCAAUAUUUGCUUGUUUCCACUUCCCAUGCUUGUCAUGGUCUUGUGCAUUAUCUAGAGGACUUCCUUGAGGUCCAUGACUUCCUUUCUAGUUUUUUUGCAGAUCUUUUUGACCUAUUGAAUGGUGAAGAAAGAUUGAUAAAGUUGGUUUAGGUUUAGUAAGAGUUGCUUAGAAAUCACUUGAUUAAAUCAAAAUUAUGUACACGGUAUCCAUGCUUAAUAAUAAAUUGGUUGGGCAUCUUUUGAGCAUUCAGAAAUUGUUUUAGACUGGCUGUUGUAAAUGAAUUUGGACAUAGUGUCAUUGAAAAUUUGAAUGUUUGUAAAAGUUUUAUUCCGCUGAUAUUGUCAUCAAAUUCUGUGAAUCCAAUCUUUUCUUUAAAGGUGUGGUUUGGGGAUGGGUUAAGAAGGGGGGAUUUAAAGGUCAGAAAUAGAGAGACAUAGCAAGGAGAAGUAGCAAAUGCAGCAACAUUACUUGUUAUUUUCUUUUUCCUUUUCUUUUUAUAUGAUUGUUGUUUGAAGGAAGGAGAUAGUAAAAAGGGAAACAUAAUUUUUUUUUAAGGGUAUUUAUUGCUGGUUGACGUGCUUCGUUAGGUUUUGCAGGCAAGUCAUGGAAUCAUUUGUACUCUAGCAGGCUUUUGUUCAGGGCUCAGUUUUUUUUGUUUUUCUUAAUAAUCUAAAGACAUUUUAAUCUCCAAUACUCUUUUGCCGCCACUGUCUCAUUUGACAUGGCUCGAAUUCUAGCUUGCCUUUUUUUCUUCUCUUUCUGUCCUUUGCUUUCAGUGUUUCAGGCUUCGAUUUUCAAAGCCCAAUUAUGAACAUACAUGGGCCUUGUCUGAGGUUGAGGGGCCCUUCACUGCAUCUAAGUGGAUGGAGCUGGAGCACCAUCAUUUUAUACAAAUACAAUGUGCAAGUGUGCUCAUACCACCCUGUCUAGUUGUCUUAAUCAAAAGGAGCCUUCAACUGUAUAAUUUCCAACUUUGUGCUGGAUCAUUUGGUUCCAGUGCAUGUAAAACUGCAUUUGGAAGAGCAAGAAAUAGAAAAUCAGUCCAUAUAGUGGCAUUAUUUCAUUUAUCAGUGUAGCCUUGUGUUUUAUUGAAUAUAUUAUCUCUUUUGCAUGACCAAAAUAAUGUAUGGUGCUUCUUUUUUCCUCUGAAUCCAGUUGGAAGUAUGUUUGCAUUGCUUUUCUAUCAUUACUUUCUACAUGGCAAGCUAGUUCAGAUACUGUUGAUAUUAGGAGCUCUUCCAUUUUUUAUCUUGAAAUUAGUCCCACUGUUAGAAUCUAAUUUCCUCUGAAAGCCUGUAAAUUUUCUGCUAAACACAUUGAAAAAAAAAAAUCUGCAACCAUAUUGAUGCAAUUCAAUCUUUUCUUCUUUAUGAUUCAUUGCUGUUUUUUGGUGUUAAUGAAUGUGAUUACCAUAUGAAAUAUGAUAAAGUAGAAACAAUAUGCCUUAUCUCUCCCAUUGGUGUAAAAACUGAAUUUCAUAGUAUUUCCUUUGAUUGUUGAUUGUUGUCCUGGGAUGAUUAUCUUUCCACCUGGAAUAUUCUGGAAAUGCUAGUAGUUGGCAUCAUACUGACUCGAGGAAGUUGCAGCACUCACAAGAUGUGGCUGCCAGGGGAAGUACUGUGAGCUAGACAUAACUCAAGGUCACCAUUGUUCAGGAAAUCAUGGGGAAGGCAACUCUGGUCAUUCUGAGAAAGCGACACUGAUUAUCAGACCGUCACAAUAAGCUUGAACCAUUUCUGGUGGCAGACCAUCCAGCAGCCUAACCAGUACUUAGAAAUAGAUGAAAAGAAUGCAGCUUGACAUCACCACUCCUUAUCUUGCAGAGUGCACUAGAUAAUAUGAAACCAAUCAUCAUUACCUGCCUUUCCCUUAUAUGUUACAUUUUCUAAGUUCUCAGUUUUAAGUAUCGGGGAGCGUAAAGUUGCAAUUUCUGGCUUAGAAUAUGCAACCCUUUUCUUCUUCAUUGGGUCAUAGACCACAGGGAUCAAAGGGAAUACAAGAUGCUGUGCAUACGGUGCACUUAUGAAGACCCUGUGUUUUACCUUGAAAUGCAACAAAUAAUUGAAGUAAUGUGCUGGUCUAAUUAUGUAUUAUAAGUUCAUUAUAUGAUGCAAAACCCAUAAGUUCAUACUCCUUAUAAUACAUACUUCACCACAUCUUUCAUGCUUCUUCAUUCUUGUUUACCGUGAAAGUUGAUUGUGCUGAAGAUAGUUUCUUCAUAGGAAACCCAUAAUCCUCUAAAGAGAACAUAAUGCCUAUCAAAUUUCAGAUAGAAAUGAAAGCACCAUCUUCAUUUCCAGCUUCAAUUGAUGUAGUUGACUGACACUAUUAGGCUAGCUGGUGAAGUCAACUUGCAGCAAUGUAGAUUGACAAAUGUUGAUAAUAGACAUUGCUAGUAGGAUGCAAGCCACUUACAGUCAUGAAAAAUGGCACAUAGGUAAUCAGUCCUGAGAGCACCAUGCAAAAGGAAAUGGACCAUCAGCAGAUGUUGAGUAUGAUGGAGAAGGUAGCCAAGGCUUGGUACAGGCAUCUUAGCCUAAUGGCUGUCUGGUGCAGGUGUUAAAGGUGCAAGUGCAAAAGUCACUCUCUAGACCACCAAGGCAAUGAUGGCAGGACUGUGAAUGCAGCUCUGAUAUGCAAUCCAGUGUUAAAGUCAAAGUAAUAUGAAGGUGAAUGAGAAUAAGUGGGCCUCAGGCAGGAGAGAGGAUCCAACUCAAGGCAAAAUAUGACUUUCAUAGUCAGAACCAAGUGUAGGAAUGAAUGCCAAUGCCAUGACAAUCCAAGCAAGCUUACCAAUUAAAAACCAGUCAAAGAUGUAGUGACCGUGGAAUCAGUCAAGGGCAGCAAACAACAAAGCAAAAACCCAGAACUGAGAGUUUUUGAAUGAGGAAAGAAAUUUCUAAGUGGAUCAAUUAUUUUGAGGCAGCAUAGCAAAAGAUGCAGGCGAGCUGUUUUAACUUGAUGAAACAAGCAGAAAUAUAAAGAAACCCUCAAGCCUUUGACAUUAUAGGUCCAUGAUGCUGAUUCAACAAAAUAUGGAGCUAGGGGGAAGUGAAAAUAUGCAAGGAACUAAUCACUAGCAAGGGAGGAUGUUAUGCUAAAAUUGAUAACGGUGACUCUUAAGAAUGAUUGAAGGUUGGUCGAUUUGAUGAAUAUAGGAUUUUGAACUAACAUAGCCACGAUCUUGCAAUCUAUGAACCUGAUACUGCAAAUUUAGAUCAAGAAAUGUCUGUUAGAUUCAGACCAGGAGGUGGUUUAGGAUCUGGAUUUAAAUUUAAAUUGUACAAUAUGGAUAGUGGAUCUUGUGAUCUGUUCAGGUUCUGUUCAUGCAUGAAGCUGACUGGAAAGCUCUUUUUUAUGCAUGAUGCAUAGAAAUUUCUCCUUUUUUCUUGCUCUACCUUGGACAAGAACUGUAUUUACACAUGUGCAGUGGCAUAUUUUGGUUUAUUUAGGAUACUCAAAAUAUGAGUGAAACUUCUAUAAUAAUUGCAUAUCCAUCUCUGUUAUUUUCUCACUUUUCUCAAGUGUCAAGCUAUGGUGAUGAAUGAGGGUGAAAUUGACUUAGCAUGAGAGGAUUGCAAGCAAAUUAACUAAGAUAUCAGAAUCAUUGCCUUAUGACCAAUAUAAGGUGGAAAAUUUCAUGCCAUACACAGUGGUUCUUGCUUUCUUUCAUUUAUUUUAUAUAUAAUCAAUGGUAAUUAUCUUUCGCAGUUCCUUGAUAUUUUACUUAUUUUUUAAAAGAAAUAAAAAGUAUAUUGCAAGCCUGGUCAAAGAUGGGUUAAGUAUCAGUUUUGCGCAAGUCCUAUUGUGUAAGGGGGGCAUCGGGAAACACUACAAGCAAAUGAUGAAAAAUUUAAGUACAGCUAAGGAGUUAGCAUGGUGCACUAUGGUUCUUGAGACACCAACUCAUGCAAAUCCCCAGAGAUUGCUGAAAAUAGAUAGCAAAGAGAGCAUGCAGAUUUGCUAUUUCCUAGUAGUGAGACGUUGGUUCUUACUUAACAGACUUGAUGGUGGUGUGUACCACACACAUGUCCUGAACACCCAAGACAACAAAACUAUGAAAGUAUGGUCUGAAAACAACAAUCAAAUAUAGAGUGGUAUAAGAUUAAAGCUAAUUAGAAUUUAAUUAAGAUUUGAAGAGAUUAAAUAAAAAAAGAAUGCAGCCCAGUAGGAUUUCUGCUAUUUCUGAUGAGCUUCACUAUCUGUGAACAAUAUAAACAUUCAAAGAUGAUUGUAGAGUGAGCUACAAAUGUUCAAAAAUCUGAAAACAGUAAGUAGUAAGAAGAGCAAGGGAAUUUAGAAGGCAAUGAGGCAAAUGUGAUGCAAUGGAAGAUGAAUCAACCUUCAUCUUGUUAGAUGAGUCAUUUGGUCUGGGUCUGGCCAAAUACAUGCCAUCUUGUCCCAAAAUCCCAUACCAUGCAGUAAUGGGAAUAACAGGUGGAAUUGGAUUAUUUCCAGAAAGAGGAUCAACCCAUAUGACCAUUUAAUAGGCAGUUCUAAUCCUGUUAUGCUGGAUGGUGAAACACAAUGAGAGAUGGCUCCUUAGGUUGGUUGGGUCUAGGCAAUGAAGAAACACCAUGGACUGAAAACCACUGAAGAGCAUAAAAUACUGCUUUGCCCUGCUAGGACCUACGAACUUCUCUAGUUCAAGGGAUAGUUAGGCCAUAGGGUAGAAAUCGGAUUGGAUACGGAUCGGAUAUUAGUAUAUCCAUAUCCAUAUUUGUUUUAUUUAAUGAAUACAAAUAUGAAUAUGGAUAUUAAUUGGAUGCAAAAAUUCAUGUUCAUAUUUGUUUAAAAUGGAUACGGAUACAAAUCGGGAUAUAAAUACUAAUAUAAGUUGGAUAAUUAAAUUUCAUGACCACAGAAUCAGACAUAUUACUAAGUGGAUGCUAAAUUAAGUUAAUAGUAUAUUAAUACGGUUAUAUAUUUUCUUUAAAAGUCCAUGAGUGCUAUGUGACAUUAAAUAUGGUUAUAAAUAGACCCAGAUAUUUAGAUACAGAGCGGAUGGUUGUUUAUCCAUAUCUAUUUUUCCAUGAUGGAUAUGGAUACGAAUACGGAUAUUAGUUGGAUCCUCAAAUUUUUAUCGAUAUCCGGAUAAACUCGGAUAUAAAAAUGGAUCUAGAUGGAUAAUAUCUAGUCCACUUUCACCCCAAUUAGGCCAAGAUGGAUAGAAAGUGCUCACCAACAGUUAUAGUGGUUAACUGAUGCAAGGGUAUGGUACAAUUGUGGAAUUUGUGGGAGCAGUCCUUGAUCUUGGAUGAUGUAUCUUUAAAGCUCGUGAAAAUUUCUCGCAUAUUCAGACCAUGAUACCAUAGAAGUGCUGGCUAAGCUACAUCAUAAACAUGCAUUAAAAAUUUUUCAAGAACAUUAAAUCCUACUGAAAAUAUCCAAGAAAUGUCAAUGGUGGUACUACUAUAAAGGGUGCAACAGUUCUUUUUUGUCGCUCAAUACAACUUACCACUUCUUUCAGGAGCUCUUUAAUGCUGGCAUUUACUAGAUGGAUCUCCAUGUUCAAUCCAAAAUCAGCAACAUAUGCUAACAACAAGAGGAUAUUUGGAGCAGCAUGUAGUUCCUUGUAAAAACAUACAACAUUUGCCCUCACUCCCCCCAGAAAGAACUUACAAAAUAGGAUCUUCAGAUUUGAUGAGAAUCAGGAGAAUAAACAAGUUGGCAUUUCAAAUACUCUAUUAGGAGAGAGAAUCAUUAGUUGCUAUCCAGAAUCAUGUUUACUGAAGGAUCUGUUUCCAAAUUUUAAAAAUUAUAGCCUACAUCACCAUGAGUUAGAUUUCCCAACCUUUAGAAACUACCUCUCUAAAGGUCUAGAUGUUAGAAAAUGCAUCUGUCCUUGAGAGCAUACUGACACACAUGUAAAGGUGUGGUUGCACACAGCCACCCCAAUAUGAAUCUGGCCUGGUCUCUCUCUCCUUCAUGGAGCAGUGCAUGGAAGUUGGAGUGGCUCUCAGUCUUUCUUAACUGACGAACCACAGACAUGAAAAGGAGGUUUGUGGACAUAGAAGCAGCAGGGUAGCCCCAUUUUGCAGGUUCUUAUGUGGAACUGGGCAAACUAGCCCACCUGAAUUAAACCUGGAUAAGCAUUGUUGCUCUCUGAAAAAGAGAGAGAACAGUGCCAUCCUCUUGUAGUGCAAGGACUUUCCAUAUGUUUACUUAUUAUUGGAAAGUUCCACCACCACUAAUUGCCACCACCUGCACAUUAUUGUGUCUCAUGACCCAAACAGAGCUUGGAGACCUUCCCAUUUGAAGCACUGCUGCAUGGCCUCUCUAAUAUGAGCAACACAUUUCAACCGACACUCCUUCCUCUGUUCUGGUAUGCCUGCUUAAAUAAUUGAAAUUAUUACCUCCAAUGAUUCAAGUGUCUACAUAUUUCUCUUUUCGGCAAUAUCCAGUUUCUAUAUCUGGACUCAAGGUUUCAGGUAAUUUCUGUAUCAUCAACUGGUGGGGUUCUUAAAAUGAUAGAUGGGCAGAAGCAUGUAUAUGGACCCUUAAGGCAUAAUUGUAUAAUUUUUCAUCAAGCUGCUUCUCUUUUGCAUGGAAUGUGGUGAAAUCGUACUACAGUUGCAUAGAAUUUUAAUAUCAGUUUAAUUUAGGGGCUUUUUUUUAAUUUUCAAUUUUCAGAGUUGAAGAUCUGAAUUAGUUAUUAAAAUUUGUCGAUGCAAAAUCAAAAUAUUUCUUUUUAUUCUUCAUGCAGCUCAAAUUAAGUGCAGUUCUGAUCGAGAGAUGUUCAUCUUCUUCAUAACCCACGGAAAAAAGAAGAACGAAAAGAGAACAACAAGUAAGAACAAUAAAAAAGAUCUCCCUCAGCAAAGCAGGUUUGCGGAUGCAGAGAUCUGUAGGAUUUUCGAUUUAGCUCUCAUGUGAGUGGUGCACUGCUAGUGUUUUCCAUCAGAAGGUUCUCAAGUUUCUUUCUGAGCUCAGACUCUUCAUCUCUAAGCUGGGCAUUCUCAUGAAGGAUCUGAUCACGAUCCCUCAUGACGUGGUUCAGCUGAUCAAGGAGCUGGCGGUUGGCAGUGC